rnacentral:rRNA from 1 species
AUGUUUGACAUGGUACAAAAGAGCUUGAGAGAUUGGAAAAUUGAAGACAAAAUCUUUAGCUUUACCCUGGACAAUGCACCAGUUAAUACCUCGAUGGUUGGCCACUUGAGAAUUUUUUUGGUAGAUAGGUAUCUUGUGCAUCAUAGUGGAAAAUUAUUGCUUGUUAGAUGUGAUGCACAUGUACUGAAUCUAGUGGUGCAAGAUGGGCUCGACGCAAUGGCGUCAGUUGUUGAUAGAAUCAGAGAAUCAGUGCUGUAUGUCAAGAGUUCGCAAGGCAGAAUGGAGAAAUUCAAUGCGAUGAUUGCACGGGUGGGACUUGCUUGUAAAAACCAUCCUUCGCUAGAAGUGCCUACCCGAUGGAAUUCAACUUAUAAUGCUUGA